rnacentral:rRNA from 1 species
AUUGAACGCUGGCGGCAGGCCUAACACAUGCAAGUCGAACGAGUGGCGGACGGGUGAGUAAUGUCUGGGAAACUGCCCGAUGGAGGGGGAUAACUACUGGCAACGGUAGCUAAUACCGCAUACCAUCGGAUGUGCCCAGAUGGGAUUAGCUAGUAGGUGGGGUAACGGCUCCCCUAGGCGACGAUCCCUAGCUGGUCUGAGAGGAUGACCAGCAACACAGGAACUGAGACACGGUCCAGACGCCUACGGGAGGCAGCAUGGGGGAAUAUGGAACAAUGGGCGCAAGCCUUAUGCAGCCAUGCCGCGUGUAGGAAGAAGGCCUUCGGGUUGGAAAGUACUUUCAGCGAGGAGGCGUUACUCGCAGAAGAAGCACCGGGUAACUCCGUGCCAGCAGCCGCGGUAAUAC